rnacentral:rRNA from 1 species
AACGAACGCUGGCGGCAUGCCUAACACAUGCAAGUCGAACGAGACCUCCGUGUCUAGUGGCGCACGGGUGCGUAACGCGUGGGAACCUUCCCGUAGGUUCGGAAUAACUCCCCGAAAGGGGUGCUAAUACCGGGUAAUUUCUUCGGACCAAAGAUUUAUCGACCUUGGUUGGGCCGGCGUUGGUUUAGCUAGUUGGUAGGGUAAAAGCCUAUCAAGGCUACGAUCCAUAGCUGGUCUGAGAGGCUGAUCAGCCACACUGGGACUGAGACACGGCGCAGACUCUUACGGGAAGCAGGAGUGGGGAAUACUGGAAUACGGGGGAAAGGCUGAAGCAGUAAUGCUGGGUGAGCGAUGUAGGUCUGAGGGAUGUAAAGCUCUUUUACACGGGAUGAUAAUGACAGUACCGGAAGAAUAAGCUCCGGCUAACUCCGUG